rnacentral:lncRNA from 1 species
AGAGCGCAGGGCCGGCCCGCUCACCUCCGGCGGCGCCGGCGCCCCUCCCGUUAGACGCCUGGGCAGCAUCUGCCCGCACCUUCCUGCGGGGCGCUUGGCUGGGGGCUUCCUGCACGUCGGGGACCGGGGAAAGGGAGUCGGGGGGCAGGGGGAAGGACGGGAGGGACAGCCAGACCUUGGCCAGCUGGACCUCCUGAGGAAGGUGCGGGAGAGUGGGGCGGGUACAGCCGGGCGGAAGACGAAUCCCGAGGCUGCGGAGGAUCCGGAGCUUCUCUCCUGCGACGCCGAAGGACACGAGAGUUCUGAGAGGCGCCGUGGAGGAAGGAGACCCUCUGAGGUCAUGCAAGCAGGUCUCUGCCCAAAUCCCACCGAAAAGCUGAAUGGAGGAGUGUCAUGCCUCGGUUUCCCCAACUGCAAGGGCAAGACGCAUCUUCAUUGACUCUCAGUCCCACUUGGAGGAAAGAGUAAAAACGCCAAAAUCAGCUCAAAGGCCUACAGUUAUCUGACCACAGGUUAUUAUGACACAAAGGUGGAGGGCCAGACACCUUAUCAGCAAAUGAAUAUGUCCUUCAGGAUCCAGCAUGUAAGUAUACAGGUAACGGGGUAGACAAUAUUUAGAAUACAUGGACCCAGAACUGGAAUGUGGAAAAUCCCCCCACACCUUAAUAUAGGGGAAAGAAGUUUGGUAGAGAUUUUUCCAUAUUUGACAAUAAUCUUAAAAAUGUAUGUAACUUUUCCAAUAAUGAACUGUAGACUGGAAAGAAACUCUUCUAAAGUAUCAAUAAUAAAAAGAAAUUUCAAUCAACUACGCUAAUGGAA